CUGCUUUCAGAGGACAGCCACGCCUCUUGGAAGCACCUGCAAGGACCUGAAUGGUCCUAGCAGAGCUUCAACUGAGAGAACUGCAACAGGAUUUUGUUUCACUAGUCCUGUGCCUCUAAACCAAACCACUCAUCUGUGUGACCCUCACUUGCCUGCUCUGAACCCAGGAGACACAUAAACAGCCCUGGUGUUUUGCCUGCAUAUAUGCCUGUGUGCCACGUGAAUGAAUGCCCUCAAAAGCCAGAAGAGGAAGUCAGAUUCCCCUGGAACUAGAGUUAUAUAUAGAUGUUUAUGAGCCUUGUGGGUACUGGGAAUUGAACCCAGGAGCUGCUCAGCCAUGCCUCCAGCCUCUCCCUCACAACCUUUGAUUCCCGGCUGCAGUCUGAGGACCAAUGGACCAGACCCAUGAUUCUUUCACUGUGCGGUUUGAACAAAUUGCUGCUUCUUCAUCUGUCAAGCAGAGAUGACAAGCCGUGCCUGGGAGUUAACCAAGGCUCAGAGAGUGAGGUUACAAUGCAAUGUGGUGGGUGUGAUUUCAAGGGCAUGAGUCACUGGCAGACGGCAUGCCACCCCUGUCCCAGCUGUAGCUGUCACGGUACAUGUUCUUCUGGGCCCUGUCUCUAAUCCAGGUGGUCCGGGAGUGUGUAAGAAAGCAGGCUGAGCGAGCACAAUGGGGACCAAGCCAGUGUUUGUCCGUGGUUCCUGGUUUAGUUCCUGCCUUGAGUUCCUGCCCUGACUUGCCAUCAUGCCACACUACAACUGUAAGCUGAAAUUCGCCCCUUCCUACCCAAGUUACUUUUGAACAUGGUGUUCUAUCACAGUAAUAAAACCAACUCAGACACUGUGCUUUGGGAAACGACGCGGAAAUGGAUCCUUAAAGGAGAUGGCACACGUGCAGGAGCCUGGGAACUGUGGUUUGGUGGAGGAGUGGAUCCAGUUAAACGGGAACCCAGGGCCAGCGAGAGCCUCCCACACACCUGCAAAGAACACAGCUUUCUCUUCCUGCGGGGCCUCGUACACAGCAUCGAUCUUUUCUGGGAGCUCAGGCCAGAAUGUGGCCACCAGCAAGGGCCCUGUGGGCUUGUCACGUGGUGUCACUGUCCGCCAAAUAAACCUGGGAAUAGGAAUGGGACACAGGAAGUUACUCUGCAGCGCUAACCAGCAAGCCCACUCAGAAACACAGUGGAAGGUGGCAAGGUCUGAAGAAGGUUGGAGAGGGACACUGAGGAACAGGACACUGCUCUGCAAGAUGCCACCCUUCCCUCUUGCCCCCACCUCCUCCAGGAAGCCUCCCCAGACUGUCUGUUUACUGUGUCUCCUAACUCAGUGCCUCUUGAAUAUACUGAGCGCCUGGAGCAGCAGUUGUUCAUCUAUCUGUCCUAUUGGAUCGGAAGCCAGCGGAGGUAGGGGCGGGUGGCUCUUCAAAGCAUUUUCUGAAUUUAAAUGGAAUGAAUGUGUGUGCCUUGGCAAAAUAAGAGCUACAUUUACUAAGGGAGUACUGAGCGGCAAGCACGUUUAUGAAUGAGCCUUGUAAAAUGCAAGCCUCCUAACUGCAUAAUAACAUGUGUGCUUGGUGAUCUAUCUGCCCAGCAUCCGGCAUCUCUCUCUCCACCAUCCUUCCUCUCAGCUCCACACUUAUAACCAUCCUUCAACACCAGGAGCCUCCACUGCCCAUGACAUCAUCCUCGGCCUAGGAAUGAGGCCUGGGUGUCUCCAACCUUUUGACGUCAUAACAUGACUUGUCAUUGCAUUUCCAAAACAAAAGCUAUCCUCAGCUGCAGUGACCUUAGUGGCAGGCUGGUCACGGGUGAGCCACUGGCUCUCUGACUGUGAUCCUCAGGCCAGUGGGCUGAGCAGCACCUGAGCAUGUGUGAGAAAUUCGAAUUUCUGGGCCUGACCUGAGAUCUGUAGAGUAGAUGUCUCUGACUUAAGGUUGAGACUAUGUCUGAACAAGCCUUCCAGAUGACUCUGCCAAAGAUGGUUAUCUUACCAGUCCUUGCCAUGUGUCUUACAUCAGAAAGACAAGAUUGAGCAGAUAGACCAGGGUCUCCCCUCUAGACAUCUCUCUCUCUCCCUCCCACCUGACUCCACACUCUGGCUGGAUGUGGGAAGUCUGUGGUCCCAUCUGCCGCCAGCAGACAUCUUAGAACCCAAUCUUGGCACACAGGCCAUGCAAAGGUGUCAACGGGCAAAGACAAGUCACUUUCCCUCCUCUGCCCUUUAAAACAGCCCACCCCUGGACACUAUACCAUAAAAAAGCAUUUUUUUUUACACUUUUUAAUUGGGGGCAGGAGAAGGUGAUAGCUCUAUUAACAGCACAUACAAGCAGGGUCGUGAUCCUAAUUUGCCAAACCGCCCUCAGAUAGAUUAUGCUAUUACCUGGAUUCAGUUACACAUCCAACUCCAAAAUCCAUAUUCAAGGAUCUUGUAGCACAGCCCUGUCCUCCCAGAGCCUGGCACCAUAUUUGUAUAUGUUCACUGUUUAAUCAUUUACAGUGAAAAGUAUUCUGUAGUACUGCCCUGUCCUUCCAGAGCCUGGCACCAUAUUUGUAUAUGUUUACUGUUUAAUCAUUUACAGUGAAAAGUAUUCUGUAGUACAGCCCUGUCCUCCCAAAGCCUGGCGCCAUAUUUGUAUAUGUUCACUGUUUAAUCAUUUACAGUGAAAAGUAUUCUGUAGUACAGCCCUGUCCUCCCAGAGCCUGGCACCAUAUUUGUAUAUGUUCACUGUUUAAUCAUUUACAGUGAAAAGUAUUCUGUAGUACAGCCCUGUCCUCCCAGAGCCUGGCACCAUAUUUGUAUAUGUUUACUGUUUAAUCAUUUACAGUGAAAAGUAUUCUGUAGUACAGCCCUGUCCUCCCAAAGCCCGGCGCCAUAUUUGUAUAUGUUCACUGUUUAAUCAUUUACAGUGAAAAGUAUUCUGUAGUACUGCCCUGUCCUCCCAGAGCCUGGCGCAGAUAUUUGUAUAUGUUCACUGUUUGAUUAUUUACAGUGAAUCAAUUCAGAGAGCCUAUUGAACAUAUGUUUAGGUCCUUUUGAUAUAAAGUAUGAUGUAGUGUCAGAACCAGCCCUGGCCUGGGCAUGGGUGCAGAGCCAUUUCUGAGACUCCCACUUCUGACAGCUCUACACGUGGUCACAGUUUCCACAGUGGCAACUGCACCAAGCUAGGGACCUUGCUGGAUACUGGAGCCCCCACUUACAUCAGUGGUAUCGAGUCACUAACACUGGUUUGGGCACUAAGACCUAACUAUAACUGACUUGCUGCAUUUUGAGUCUCACUUCUCUCUACCUUCUUGUUGUCUUCAACUGGCCAGCGGCAGACGCUGUGAAGGGCAGGGCACGUGUAACCCACAGCUGUCCCCAAUGUCGAAAGAAGCCCUUCGGGGAACAGAAGACAUUCCUGGAGUAUCUUUUAGCCUCCCGAGGCUCUCUGUCCCACACUGUGUAAGUCAGGAACUUUUAUCUGUCCCUGCUUUGUGAUUCCUAACCUGCCACCACUGUCACCAUCCACCAGAAUGCUGCUUCCCCUCAAAGGUCCUGUUGAGAGGACGCCCACACCAUGAAGUCUUCCCGGACAGGGACAUCUGUACAGAGAAGCUCUUUGUAUUGCUGUCAAUUUGCUAUGAUUUUCUUCCCCUAACCACACAGGUGGUAUACCGUUAAAGAACCUCCAAAUCACUGGGGAAGUCGGGUAAAAUGCAGAUAGUAACCCUGCCCCCAAAGAGUCCAGUCAAAGGACUCAGGAGAGAGGGCAGAAACACUUUUUUAAAAAAAAUUAUCCCGUUCUAGGUGGUUCUAGUGUAGGAGGCCUGUGCACUUUUCUUGAGAUGAUAUGAUGUUAAAUAGACCCCCAUCCCCAGCACACUGUCUUUCUUUCCUUGGUUACCAUCAAGACACUGGCACAAUAGCUGCUAAAUUAUCAUCUGUUGAGAUGACAGCUAAUGGACUAAACAAACACACUCUGUGCUGCCAUUAUUCUAAGCUCUAAACUCAUCUGAUUCCUAUUUCUGCUCUAUUUGAACGGGUAAAACAUUAACCCCAUCUUAGAGAUGGGCAAACAGAGAUGCAAAGAAAAUUAUUAACUUACUGGUACCCAUACAACCUGUAGAGAGAGCUAGUGUAGUACUCUACAUCCACAGCCCAUUUUCCUAACUAGUAUACUCUAUGAAUGGAUGAGUGAAUAAUUGGAUCAAUGUAUGGAAGGACAAUGAAGACUAGAUGGCCAGAGGAAGAUGAUAGAUAGAUAGAUAGAUAGAUAGAUAGAUAGAUAGAUAGAUAGACAGACAAUGGUAGUGAUGAAUGGAUAGAUGAUGGACAGACAGAUGGAUGAAUGGACUCUAUAAUGAGGUCCUAGACAGUUCUUGACAUUACCCAGGGAUCUGGGGCGUUAGGGUGACUCUCAGCCAUCUAUCAUGACCAUAGCCUUGAAGAAUGAAAGAAAUAAUCUCUCUCCACCUAUGGUCACUUGCUAUCUAUAUAGACAGCAAUUUGGCCACUUGAGAUCAAUAGCAUUCAGUGAGAAGGUCAAUGGAAGACUGGCUAAUUCCCCUACAUUCUUCUCUCUGUCCUACUUUAGAAUCAUGUCUGCAUGCACCUUACUAUACGACAACACAGUCUAUCUUUCAGGGCUGAGCUGGGGUGACUGGGAUGCCCAGCUUAGCUAUGCUCUUUAAUUGCAUCUGUAGAAGAUUCUUAGAUAUGACAUGCAUCAAAUCCUUCAAUGAAUGUGUGUGAUUUUAUUUGACCUCUUACACCCUGCCAUCUGCCAUAAGUAUCUGCUAACUAUAGGAGAAUGAGUGACAUGUAAAAUGUUGCAAAAGCCUAGACAAGACCCCUGGUAAACCCAUAAUUCAAGAAAACCACCUCUGUGGUAAGCCACCAAGAUCUGCAUGUUGUGA